CUCGCGGUUCGUGCGGCCGCGCCAUCGUGGGAGCCCGUGCGCGGCGCUGGAGGCGAGUGGCGCGGCGGGGGGCGGCCUCGGCGGGCGGUGUCCCGGCGGGCAGGUGCUUUGGCUCCCCCGGCCCGCGAGGGCAUGAGCUUAACGUUACCCCCCCCCAACCCAAGCUUAGGUUGGUCAUGCGGUGUGUGCGUUACCCUCGUUAAGUUUUUUUUUUCUCAGUGUAAAAUGGCUUUGCUGGGAAAUGUGUAAAUUUGGCUGAUACUUUUUCCCCUCAGUUCUUCCUCGUCCUYCCAGGUUUUAGCCUUGGUGUUUAAAGUAACCCGUUCCCUACUGCUGCUUCAAUUUAAUGGUGAUAGUGACUGYAUAUCACUCUUCCUGGCUGUGGUCACAGUACCAUUAAAUGCUAUAUCCACUUACAGGGAAAAAAAUCAUAACCCCUGGCAGCUUCUUACACUUUGCUUAUGUGUUGCACCUGGUUCUUGUUGUAUUUUUAUAUUUGCAUAUGUUGUAAUUUUCCUACUCUCCCUGUGCAGUGGGUUGAUUGCAGUGCUGUAGCAAAAGUGUUACCUCCCUUCUCUGCUCUGGUUUCUGCUGAACUGUGGAAGGACACRGUAACAGAAAUGAACUUACGAGCUUACGUGGAGUACAUUGAAGAACUGGGAGGAGAAUGUAAAUCAGAGGUUGUAUUGGAAGUUCUCGGAGUUUGAUUCAAAUCUUGAAAUAGUCGCAAUGUAAAGGCCCCCAUUCAGCACAACAUUACAGAACAAUCCAGCUACAAUCAGUAGUACCUACUGAAAUUUCCCUCAGAUAUAUCAUACAGAAUGUAUCUGUAGCCUGUAAAUAAACUCUUCAACAACACUUAGUAUCA
rnacentral:lncRNA from 1 species